rnacentral:rRNA from 1 species
GAUGAACGCUGGCGGUAUGCUUAACACAUGCAAGUCGAACGGUCACUUCGGUGAUAGUGGCGGACGGGUGAGUAACGCGUGAGAAUCUGUCUUCAGGUCGGGGACAACAGUUAGAAAUGACUGCUAAUACCGGAUGUGCCUUUGGGUGAAAGAUUUAUUGCCUGAAAAAGAGCUCGCGUCAGAUUAGCUAGUAGGUGGUGUAAGAGACUACCUAGGCUCCGAUCUGUAGCUGGUCUGAGAGGACGAUCAGCCACACUGGAACUGAGACACGGUCCAGACUCCUACGGGAGGCAGCAGUGGGGAAUUUUCCGCAAUGGGCGAAAGCCUGACGGAGCAAUACCGCGUGAGGGACGAAGGCUUUUGGGUCGUAAACCUCUUUUCUCAAGGAAGAUGAUGACGGUACUUGAGGAAUAAGCAUCGGCCAACUCUGUG